rnacentral:rRNA from 1 species
GACGAACGCUGGCGGCGUGCUUAACACAUGCAAGUCGAACGAUGAAGCCGGAGCUUGCUCUGGUGAAUUAGUGGCGAACGGGUGAGUAACACGUGAGUAACCUGCCCUUGACUCUGGGAUAACUGCGGGAAACUGUAGCUAAUACCGGAUACGACCCUCGGAGGCAUCUCCUGGGGGUGGAAAGAAUUUCGGUCAAGGAUGGACUCGCGGCCUAUCAGCUAGUUGGUGAGGUAAAGGCUCACCAAGGCGACGACGGGUAGCCGGCCUGAGAGGGCGACCGGCCACACUGGGGCUGCGCCACGACCCGGACACCUACGCGAGGCAGCAGUCGGGAAGAUUGGACAAUGGGCGCAAGCCUGACUCAGCAACGCCGCGUGAGUGAUGACGGCCUUCGGGUUGUAAACCUCUUUUGGUAGGCAAGAAGCGAAAGUGACGGUACCUGCAGAAAAAGCACCGGCUAGCUACGUGCCAGCAGCCGCGGUAA